rnacentral:lncRNA from 1 species
CGGUGACCCAUUGUGCAUGGACUCGCCGGGCGACCCCUGCUGCAGAUGGACGACGACACCCCUGCACCUCAGCUGGGUGAAGUGUUCGGAGCCCUGACCCUUUUCUCCCCCGAGGUCCCUCCAUCCUGAUGUAAACCGGUGGCUGCGACCAGUCACCCACAGGAAAGGGGGCGCCAAGCCCUCCUCCCCGCGGAUCUGAGCCAUGGGAUGGGAUACUUGUGGAUAUUGGAGGAACGCGUCUCCGAUGUUGGGAAAUGGAGCCCUAAAAGAAGAUCAGUCCAAAGAAAGUGCCAAGACCAGGUCCAGCACACUCCACAAGGGGAUCUAACGGAAACA